rnacentral:rRNA from 1 species
GACGAACGCUGGCGGCGUGCUUAACACAUGCAAGUCGAACGGAAAGGCCCUGCUUUUGUGGGGUGCUCGAGUGGCGAACGGGUGAGUAACACGUGAGUAACCUGCCCUUGACUUUGGGAUAACUUCAGGAAACUGGGGCUAAUACCGGAUAGGAGCUCCUGCUGCAUGGUGGGGGUUGGAAAGUUUCGGCUGUUGGGGAUGGACUCGCGGCUUAUCAGCUUGUUGGUGGGGUAGUGGCUUACCAAGGCUUUGACGGGUAGCCGGCCUGAGAGGGUGACCGGCGACAUUGGGACUGAGGUACGGACCAGAAGGCUACGGGAGGCAGCAGUGGGGAAUAUUGCACAAUGGGCGGGAGUCAGAUGCAGCAACGCCGCGUGCGGGAUGCCGGCCUUCGGGUUGUAAACCGCUUUCGCCUGUGACGAAGCGUGAGUGACGGUAAUGGGUAAAGAAGCACCGGCUAACUACGUG